UACGUAGGGGGCAAGCGUUGUCCGGAAUCAUUGGGCGUAAAGAGCGUGUAGGCGGUCCGAUAAGUCCGCUCUGAAAGCCCGGGGCUCAACCCCGGGAGGCGGGCGGAUACUGUCGGGCUAGAGUCCGGAAGAGGCAAGUGGAAUUCCUGGUGUAGCGGUGAAAUGCGCAGAUAUCAGGAGGAACACCAGUAGCGAAGGCGACACUCUGGGCCGGUACUGACGCUGAGGAGCGAAAGCGUGGGGAGCAAACAGG
rnacentral:rRNA from 1 species